UACGUAGGUUGCGAGCGUUGUCCGGAGUUACUGGGUGUAAAGCGCACGCAGGCGGUCUGCUAAGUUUGGAGUGACAGUUGGUGGCUUAACUGCCAAAGUGCUUCGAAAACUGACAGACUUGAGGGCUUCAGAGGGACACGGAAUUCCGGGUGGAGUGGUGAAAUGCGUAGAGAUCCGGAGGAACACCAAAGGCGAAGGCAGUGUCCUGGGGAGUACCUGACGCUCAGGUGCGAAAGCCAGGGGAGCGAACGGG
rnacentral:rRNA from 1 species